CCUACGGGAGGCAGCAGUGGGGAAUUUUGGACAAUGGGCGCAAGCCUGAUCCAGCCAUGCCGCGUGUGGGAAGAAGGCCUUCGGGUUGUAAACCACUUUUGUCAGGGAAGAAACGGUCUGGUCUAAUAAACCGGACUAAUGACGGUACCUGAAGAAUAAGCACCGGCUAACUACGUGCCAGCAGCCGCGGUAAUACGUAGGGUGCAAGCGUUAAUCGGAAUUACUGGGCGUAAAGCGUGCGCAGGCGGCUUUGCAAGACAGAUGUGAAAUCCCCGGGGCUCAACCUGGGAACUGCAUUUGUGACUGCAAGGCUAGAGUACGGCAGAGGGGGGAUGGAAUUCCGCGUGUAGCAGUGAAAUGCGUAGAUAUGCGGAGGAACACCGAUGGCGAAGGCAAUCCCCUGGGCCUGUACUGACGCUCAUGCACGAAAGCGUGGGGAGCAAACAGGAUUAGAUACCCUGGUAGUCCACGCCCUAAACCGAUGUCAACUGGUUGUUGGGAGGGUUUCUUCUCAGUAACGAAGCUAACGCGUGAAGUUGACCGCCUGGGGAGUACGGCCGCAAGGUUGAAACGUCAAAGAGUAAGUGGCGGNGNGAGNGACGACGACGACGACGACGGAGGGAGG
rnacentral:rRNA from 1 species